GUGAAUCAUCGAAUCUUUGAACGCAAAUUGCACUCUCUUCGGAGAGUAUGCCUGUUUGAGGGUCAGCCUAAAAAAAAUCGACAUCGUUGCUGUUUUGUGACCCAUCGGAAUUGGGUUAUCUUUGACCUUUUAAAAAGUUUAAGUGACCUAAAAUUGAUACCUUGUGCAUCUCAGACGUACAUAAGAAUAUUUUUUUAUCCGUCCGGAGUUGCCAACUUUUUAUUAGGUAUGACCAUGCUGUUUGUGGCAUCGUACCUAUAAUAUACUCAUAUUUUGACCUCAAAUCAGGUAGGAGUACCCG
rnacentral:misc_RNA from 1 species